rnacentral:rRNA from 1 species
UUAGGGAGGCAGCAGUGGGGAAUAUUGCACAAUGGGCGCAAGCCUGAUGCAGCCAUGCCGCGUGUAUGAAGAAGGCCUUCGGGUUGUAAAGUACUUUCAGCGGGGAGGAAGGCGUCGCGGUUAAUAACCGGAGCGAUUGACGUUACCCGCAGAAGAAGCACCGGCUAACUCCGUGCCAGCAGCCGCGGUAA